AAAAAAGUGAUAGACUCUCAUAUCAGGAUGCAGCUCUGCUCCAGCCCUGCAUCUUUCUCUGUACACAGCUAACCCAGACCUCCAUGCGGGUCUCUUAUGUAUUGUUACUUGGAUAAUUUGUAUCUUUGUAGAUGAGUGUGUUCAUGGAAAUAGCAUAAAUAUCCCGUUAAAAGCACAGAACAGAUGGUCUAGUGUGAAAACAUGAAUUUACCCAGUGUGUAUGAUGAGACCAAGGCACCAUUAGAUUGUCCAGCAAGUCACAAGCUGAUACAAAUGUGAUUUGUGAAAUAUUGAAGCUGUUGAAUCAUCUCACACUAUUGAGGAGGUUCCUACUACUUAUUGCGAUACUAGGUUUAAGGUCAGUCUCUAAGAAUAAAAGAAUUUCAAAU
rnacentral:lncRNA from 1 species